GAUGAACGCUGGCGGCGUGCCUAAUACAUGCAAGUCGAGCGAACAGACGAGGAGCUUGCUCCUCUGACGUUAGCGGCGGACGGGUGAGUAACACGUGGAUAACCUACCUAUAAGACUGGGAUAACUUCGGGAAACGGGCGCAAAUCCGGGAUAAGAUAUUGAACCGCAUGGUGCAUUGGUGAAAGACGGUUUUGGGGGAACUUAUAGAGGGAUCUGCGCCGUUUUGGCUGGUUGGUAAGGUAAAGGGUUACCAAGGGAACGAUGCGUAGCCGACCGGCGAGAGUGAUCGCCCACACUGGAACUGAGACACGGUCCAGACUCCUACGGGAGGCAGCAGUAGGGAAUCUUCCGCAAUGGGCGAAAGCCUGACGGAGCAACGCCGCGUGAGUGAUGAAGGUCUUCGGAUCGUAAAACUCUGUUAUUAGGGAAGAACAAAUGUGUAAGUAACUAUGCACGUCUUGACGGUACCUAAUCAGAAAGCCACGGCUAACUACGUG
rnacentral:rRNA from 1 species